UACGAAGGGGGGCUAGCGUUGUUCGGAAUUACUGGGCGUAAAGCGCGCGCAGGCGGUCUUCCAAGUCAGUGGUGAAAGCCCGGAGCUCAACUCCGGAACUGCCAUUGAAACUGUUGGACUUGAGUACGAGAGAGGUGAGUGGAAUUCCCAGUGUAGAGGUGAAAUUCGUAGAUAUUCGCAAGAACACCAGUGGCGAAGGCGGCUCACUGGCCCGGUACUGACGCUGAGGUGCGAAAGCGUGGGGAGCAAACAGG
rnacentral:rRNA from 1 species